AACUCCCAACCCCUGUGACAUACCACUUGUUGCCUCGGCGGAUCAGCCCGCUCCCGGUAAAACGGGACGGCCCGCCAGAGGACCCCUAAACUCUGUUUCUAUAUGUAACUUCUGAGUAAAACCAUAAAUAAAUCAAAACUUUCAACAACGGAUCUCUUGGUUCUGGCAUCGAUGAAGAACGCAGCAAAAUGCGAUAAGUAAUGUGAAUUGCAGAAUUCAGUGAAUCAUCGAAUCUUUGAACGCACAUUGCGCCCGCCAGUAUUCUGGCGGGCAUGCCUGUUCGAGCGUCAUUUCAACCCUCAAGCACAGCUUGGUGUUGGGACUCGCGUUAAUUCGCGUUCCUCAAAUUGAUUGGCGGUCACGUCGAGCUUCCAUAGCGUAGUAGUAAAACCCUCGUUACUGGUAAUCGUCGCGGCCACGCCGUUAAACCCCAACUUCUGAAUGUUGACCUCGGAUCAGGUAGGAAUACCCGCUGAACUUAAGCAUAUCAAUAAGCGGAGGAAAAGAAA
rnacentral:rRNA from 1 species